rnacentral:rRNA from 1 species
GACGAACCGUGCGAACGUUGUUCGGAAUCACUGGGCUUAAAGGGCGCGUAGGCGGGCCAUCAAGUCAGAGGUGAAAUCCCCCGGCUCAACCGGGGAACUGCCUUUGAUACUGGCGGUCUGGAGUAAGGUAGGGGCAUGCGGAACUGAUGGUGGAGCGGUGAAAUGUGUUGAUAUCAUCAGGAACUCCGGUGGCGAAAGCGGCGUGCUGGACCUUUACUGACGCUUAGGCGCGAAAGCCAGGGGAGCAAACGGG